GUUUAACUAUUGAUAGAUGGUACAAAAUUUGUAUAUAAAUUUAAAUAAAAAAAAUUGAAUGCCAUAUAAAAUUGUGUCAAUUAUUAGUAUAAAGCAAGGUGCUUCAUAAAAUAAUAUAUAUAAGAUAAUAUUCAAAUGAAAAAAACUAAAAAUUAAAUUAACUAAUAAUAAUCAGACUAAAGUAAAAACUACGUAAAAUAUAUUUUAAAAAAAUAAAUUAAAAAAAAUAAUAAAUAAAUAGCCUUGUUGGGUUUGGCUAGUGGAUACAAGGUAGUAGAAUACAUUUUAUUGAUAUAGCUUUUAUAUAAUUUUGAAAUAUAAAUUGAAAAAAAAAAAAGGGAAAACAUAGAAGAAACUUAUUAUACAUAUUAUUGUAAUUCAAUUUCCAAAGUACUGUUGUGAUGAAC
rnacentral:misc_RNA from 1 species